rnacentral:pre_miRNA from 1 species
GUGUUCACGAUGGAGAAGCAGGGUACGUGCAUUGCCCGUCCAAGGUUUGGAGGUUCUUCAUGUGCCCAUCUUCUCCAUCCUGCCCAC